ACCCGCACAAGCGUGGAUGAUGUGGUUUAAUUCGAUGCAACGCGAAAAACCUUUACCCACCUUUGACAUGUAUGGAAGUUUCCAGAGAUGGAUUCGUGCUCGAAAGAGAGCCAUAACACAGGUGCUGCAUGGCUGUCGUCAGCUCGUGUCGUGAGAUGUUGGGUUAAGUCCCGCAACGAGCGCAACCCUCGUCAUUAGUUGCUACAUUCAGUUGGGCACUCUAAUGAGACUGCCGGUGACAAACCGGAGGAAGGUGGGGAUGACGUCAAGUCCUCAUGGCCCUUAUAGGUGGGGCUACACACGUCAUACAAUGGCCGGUACAAAGGGUCGCAAACCCGCGAGGGGGAGCCAAUCCAUCAAAGCCGGUCGUAGUCCGGAUCGCAGUCUGCAACUCGACUGCGUGAAGUCGGAAUCGCUAGUAAUCGUGGAUCAGCAUGUCACGGUGAAUACGUUCCCGGGUCUU
rnacentral:rRNA from 1 species